rnacentral:rRNA from 1 species
CACGUAGGGCGCAAGCGUUGUCCGGAAUUAUUGGGCGUAAAGAGCUCGUAGGUGGUUUGUUACGUCUGCUGUGAAAUCCUAGGGCUUAACCCCGGACUUGCAGUGGGUACGGGCAGACUAGAGUGUGGUAGGGGAGACUGGAAUUCCUGGUGUAGCGGUGAAAUGCGCAGAUAUCAGGAGGAACACCGAUGGCGAAGGCAGGUCUCUGGGCCACUACUGACGCUGAGAAGCGAAAGGCAUGGGGAGCGAACAGG